UCGAGAAUCUUCCGCAAUGGACGAAAGUCUGACGGAGCGACGCCGCGUGGAGGAUGACGUACUUCGGUAUGUAAACUCCUUUUGCCAGGGAAAAAAUUUAUUGAUGGUACCUGGAGAAUAAGAAGUUGCUAAACUCGUGCCAGCAGCAGCGGUAAUACGAGUGCUUCGAGCGUUAUCCGGAAUCAUUGGGCGUAAAGGGUGUGUAGGCGGUUAUGUUAGUCUCGCGUAAAAUUCUCCGGCUCAACCGGAGGCUCGCGCGGGAAACGGCAUGACUUGAGGGUGGAAGGGGUCUCUGGAACUCAUGGUGUAGCGGUGAAAUGCGUUGAUAUCAUGGGGAACACCAAAAGCGAAGGCAAGAGACUGGUCCAUUUCCUGACGCUGAAACACGAAAGCGUGGGUCGCGAAUGGGAUUAGAUACCCCUGUAGUCC
rnacentral:rRNA from 1 species